GUUCAGUUAGUAGAACAUGGUCCUCUGUAGUUCAGUUAGUAGAGCAUGGUCCUCUGUAGUUCAGUUAGUAGAACAUGGCUCCAGGUCCACUGUAGUUCAGUUAGUAGAACAUGGCUCCAGGUCCUCUGUUGUUCAGUUAGUAGAGCAUGGCUCCAGGUCCUCUGUAGUUCAGUUAGUAGAACAUGGCUCCAGGUCCUCUGUAGUUCAGUUAGUAGAACAUGGCUCCAGGUCCUCUCUAGUUCAGUUAGUAGAGAAUGGCUCCAGGUCCUCUGUAGUUCAGUUAGUAGAACAUGGUCCUCUGUAGCUCAGUUAGUAGAGCAUGGCUCCAGGUCCUCUGUAGUUCAGUUAGUAGAACAUGGCUCCAGGUCCUCUGUAGUUCAGUUAGUAGAGCAUGGCUGCAGGUCCUCUGUAGUUCAGUUAGUAGAACAUGGCUCCAGGUCCUCUGUAGUUCAGUUAGUAGAGCAUGGCUCCAGGUCCUCUGUAGUUCAGUUAGUAGAACAUGGCUCCAGGUCCUCUGUAGUUCAGUUAGUAGAGCAUGGUCCUCUGUAGUUCAGUUAGUAGAACAUGGCUCCAGGUCCUCUGUAUUUCAGUUAGUAGAACAUGGCUCCAGGUCCUCUGUAGUUCAGUUAGUAGAACAUGGUCCUCUGUAGUUCAGUUAGUAGAACAUGGCUCCAGGUCCUCUGUAUUUCAGUUAGUAGAGCAUGGCUCCAGGUCCUCUGUAGUUCAGUCAGUAGAACAUGGCUCCAGGUCCUCUGUAGUUCAGUUAGUAGAGCAUGGUCCUCUGUAGUUCAGUUAGUAGAGCAUGGCUCCAGGUCCUCUGUAGUUCAGUCAGUAGAACAUGGCUCCAGGUCCUCUGUAGUUCAGUUAGUAGAACAUGGUCCUCUGUAGUUCAGUUAGUAGAGCAUGGCUCCAGGUCCUCUGUAGUUCAGUUAGUAGAACAUGGUCCUCUGUAGUUCAGUUAGUAGAACAUGGUCCUCUGUAGUUCAGUUAGUAGAACAUGGCUCCAGGUCCUCUGUAGUUCAGUUAGUAGAACAUGGCUGCAGGUCCUCUGUAGUUCAGUUAGUAGAACAUGGCUCCAGGUCCUCUGUAGUUCAGUUAGUAGAGCAUGGUCCUCUGUAGUUCAGUUAGUAGAGCAUGGCUCCAGGUCCUCUGUAGCUCAGUUGGUAGAGCAUGACUGUGCUUUGGAUAAAAUUGUCUGGCAUAUAGUAUGUGUUACUCUGGUUCCCAUCACCAGGGGGCAGUGUGAGUUUUGGUUCCCAUCAAAAUCAAAUAAUCACAUUUUAUUGGUCACAUACACAUGGAUAGCAGAUGUUAAUGCGUGUGUAGCGAAAUGCUUGUGCAUCUAGUUCUGACAGUGCAGUAAUAUCUAACAAGUAAUCUAACAAAUUCACAACUAACUACCUAAUACACACACAAAUGUAAAGCGAUGGAAUAAGAAUUUGUACAUAUAAAUAUAUGGAUGAGCGAUGGCCAUGCAGCAUAGGCAAGAUGCAGUAGAUGGUAUAGAGUACAAUAUAUACAUAUAAGAUGAGUGAUGUAAGAUAUGUAAAAAUUAAAGUGGCAUUAUUUAAAGUGACUAGUGAUACCUUUAUUAAAUCCAUUUAUUAAAGUGACCAGUGAUUUGGGUCUGUAUGUUUGCAGCAGCCUCUCUAUGUUAGUGAUGGCUGUUUAACAGUCUGAUGGCCUUGAGAUAGAAGCUGUUUUUCAGUCUCUCUGUACCAGCUUUGAUGCACCUGUACUGACCUCGCCAUCUGGAUGGUAGCGGUGUGAACAGGCAGUGGCUCAGGUGGUUGUUGUCCUUUUUGGCCUUUCUGUGACAUCGGGUGCUGUAGGUGUCCUGGAGGGCAGGUAGUUUGCCCCUGAUGAUGCGUUGUGCAGACCGGUUGAUGGCGGUGCAGUUGCCUAUCACCUUACCAGGUGAUACAGCUCGACAGGAUGCUCUUAAUUGUGCAUCUGUAAAAGUUUGUGAGGGUUUUAGGUGACAAGCCAAAUUUCUUCAGCCUCCUGAGGUUGAAGUGGCGCUGUUGCGCCUUCUUCACUACACUGUAUAUGUGGGUGGACCAUUUCAGUUUGUCCGUGAUGUGUAUGCCGAGGAACUUGAAGCUUUCCGCCUUCUCCACUGCGGUCCCAUUGAUGUGGAUAGGGGGCUGCUCCCUCUGCUGUUUCCUGAAGUCAACAAUAAUCUCCUUUGUUUUGUUGACGUUGAGUGAGAGGUUAUUUUCCUGACACAACACUCCGAGGGCCCUCACCUCCUCCCUGUAGGCCAUCUCGUCGUUGUUGGUAAUCAAGCCCACUACUGUUGUGUCAUCUGCAAACUUGAUGAUUGAGUUGGAGGCGUUUAUGGCCACACAGUCUUGGGUGGACAGGGAGUACAGGAGAGGGCUGAGCACGAACCCUUGUGGGGCCACAG
rnacentral:lncRNA from 1 species